rnacentral:tRNA from 1 species
GGAUCCAUGGUGUAAUAGUUAGCACUCUAGACUUUGAAUCCAGUGAUUUGAGCUCAACUCUCAGUGGAACUG